UUUGCCUACGGGGCGCAGCAGUGGGGAAUAUUGCACAAUGGGGGAAACCCUGAUGCAGCGACGCCGCGUGAGUGAAGAAGUAUUUCGGUAUGUAAAGCUCUAUCAGCAGGAACGAGACAAGACGGUACCUGACUAAGAAGCCCCGGCUAACUACGUGCCAGCAGCCGCGGUAAUACGUAGGGAGCGAGCGUUAUCCGGAAUUAUUGGGUGUAAAGGGUGCGUAGACGGGAAAACAAGUUAGUUGUGAAAUCCCUCGGCUUAACUGAGGAACUGCAACUAAAACUAUUUUUCUUGAGUGCAGGAGA
rnacentral:rRNA from 1 species